AUGCCGCAGCUGCAGUUUAUUUUACACAUCUCUCGUGUUUAGUUGGCAAUUUUCUUAUAAGAUAACUUCAAGUAACGCCGCUUGCGAGAUUUUUUUUAAUUGUUUAAAAUUCUUGAAAUUAAUAAAACGGUGUAAAAAUUGUUUUAAAAUAAGCUAGUGUCAUGCAAUAAUAAGUACAUCUUGAAAAUCUGAAAUUAUAAAUCAAGGCCUUAAAUAGGAAUCAAAAUCCAAAGCAAAAGUUUGCUACAUCAGUGCACAUAAAGGAACGUCAAACGAAUGUGUGUCGCAAAGACCGCUAAAAAGUGUAGAGCAUAGAACGCAAACGAAAUCGGAGUUCAAUAACAUAAAUUAUUUAAGAAAAAAAACAGCAGCGCAGAUUAUAAUUGCUGUGGUGUUCGAGUGUGUGCGGUUUCGAAUUGAGGCUGUGUUUGGGAUUUGUGCAUAAAUUCCACGUGAAUGUCUUCACAAUCGUCGACUCGUUACUUGCCAAUAACCACAACAAUGGAUAAUCCCGCUCUUUCAGGGUCCAGUGGUGAUGUGGAAGCCGACAGCAACUCCGUUGAAGCUAGUCUACCCGCCACCUGUUCGUCGCAGCAAUUAAUGCCUCCUCCAUCAGACACGGAUAGCGCUGUUUUACAACAGCCAUCCACCGGAAUCACGAAGACACAAUGGUUUACGGUGGUUGUGCUCUGCUUUGUUAAUCUAAUCAACUAUAUGGAUCGCUUUACCAUAGCAGGUGUUUUAACGGAUAUACAAGAUGACUUUAAAAUCGGUGACGAUGAUGGUGGUCUCCUACAAACCGCCUUUGUGCUCUCCUAUAUGAUUUGUGCUCCAGUAUUCGGCUAUCUCGGUGAUCGUUAUUCGCGUCGUUGGAUUAUGGCCACCGGUGUACUGCUAUGGUCCACAACAACGUUACUCGGCUCGUUUAUGGGUAGCUUCGGUAGCUUCAUUACAUUCCGUGCAUUGGUGGGCAUUGGUGAAGCUUCUUAUAGUACUAUAGCGCCUACAAUUAUAUCGGACUUAUUCGUACAUGACUUACGUUCGAAAAUGCUGGCGUUAUUCUAUUUUGCGAUACCUGUGGGUUCAGGAUUCGGUUAUAUCGUCGGCUCCGAGACCGCACGUUUGGCCAACGACUGGCGUUGGGCCUUGCGUGUCACACCUAUUCUUGGCAUUGUGGCUGUUGCGUUAAUACUAUUAACCAAAGAACCCGAGCGUGGUGAGAGCGAAGGCUCACACAAUUUGGAACCUACUAGCUACACUGAAGAUAUAAAGGACUUAAUGAAGAAUCAUUCAUUUAUGCUUUCGACAGCCGGUUUCACAUGCGUUGCCUUCGUAACGGGCGCUUUGGCUUGGUGGGGCCCGAAAUUCAUAUAUCUAGGCAUCAAGAUGCAGCCAGGCAAUGAGGAACUAUCGUUGAAUGACGUUUCGCUACGUUUUGGCAUUAUUACAAUGACAGCUGGUCUAAUUGGUGUACCGCUCGGACCGAUUUUGUCGCGUGCGGUUGCCAGUUACAAAAACAACGCCGAUCCCUUGGUGUGCGCUUUUGGAUUAUUUUUUAGCUCGCUUUUCCUUGCUGCCGCGAUGCUGUUUGUCACAAAAUACAUCAUAGCCUCGUAUAUUUUAAUGUUCAUCGGUCAAUUGUGUUUGAAUCUAAAUUGGGCACUUGUGGCUGAUAUUUUACUGUACGUUGUGGUGCCGACGCGCCGUUCCACUGCUGAAGCCUUCCAAAUUCUACUGUCACAUGCGUUGGGUGAUGCUGGUAGCCCUUAUUUCGUUGGCUUGCUUUCGGAAGGAAUCAAACGUCAUUUGCGCACCACUGCAACUCAAGCAGUUCAGACCAACGAAUUCAGUAUCUCCAUGCCUAGUAUGUCCUUGAGAUUGGAGAAUAACAGUGAUAAUAUUACUGACAGCUUACUGUCCGGAGAUGCUACAACGGCAGCGACAACGAAUCUCUUAGCGGAAGCUGCCAGUGCAGUGAUGGAGAAUAUCACUGACUUGGCUGCGAAUGCUACAAACUUUUUAUACCAAAAUGCCACUGACUUUGUCACGGAUGCAACGAAUAUGAUGCCAUUGAAUAGUACCCAUUUAAGUGACUAUUUCCUUGAUGAGAAAUUAUUGGGAGGGGAUAUUGAGGACACCGAUAGGACAAAAUUCAAAGCAUUGCAGUAUUCGCUGUUUUCUACGAGCUUCAUUGAAGUUUUGGGUGCCGUUUUCUUCUUUCUAACUGCCAUUUAUAUAUUGAAAGAUAAGCGACGAGCUGCGCAGGCAACACUUGCUAACGAACCAAACGAUAUUAGCUAUACAGCUAGAAUAUAUAAAGAAUUCGGUUUCGAAGAUUCUGAAUGUAUCGUCCUUUGCACUGAUAUUACACGUGAUCAGCGGGCAUAAGGAACAAAACAAUAAUUAGAAGCAAACGAAAAUUGGCGAAAAGUGUCUUUUUUUCUAAACUUCGUCGCUGGCAACCCAGCAUCUCAAGUGUGAAGUGCACUUCCAAUAAAUUAUACAAAUGAAUAAUGUAUAAGCCACUUAACCAACCAGCCAGUCAACCCACAAGCAAUUCAUGUAUAACAAUCACAUCCCAACUUUAUGCCGGAAUGUGUAGCGCGCAAGGCAAACAUAUGACUGAAAUAUUAGUUCUAACUAAUUAUUUAGUAGUAAUAAUGAUUAUUAUCAUAGAAUCAUGUGUGCCUCAAGAAGUGGGUGUGUUCCUAUUAGACGAGUGUGUAUGGAUGGAUGAUCAUGCAAACAUCACAUAUAAACAUAUUUAAAUACAUUUGUAUAUACAUAUAUUUAGAUAUUUAGUAAUAAACAUUGAUCAAUCAUUCUCAUUUGCAAUCGCUUAAACGUUAAGAUGAUUCCUAUUAUGUAGUUAUUUGUAUUAUAAUUUUGCUAUCGUCAAAAUGUCAUCAAUCAAUGGAUUGCGUGCACCACAUAAAAAUAGGCAUACAAAUAUGGUACUUGUACGUAGUACAGAGGUGUACCUGCGAAUAUGAAAAUUGCAUACUUACCAUUGCAUAAGCAUAGAAAUAGUGUAUACAUUAUGAUCAGGCAAAUGCUCUGUCGCAAAAUGGAAGUGCUGAAAUUAUAUAAACAAGACCAUACCAAUUCUUACACAAAACAUUAGUAAUUUGAUGGAAGAUAAAAAAGAUAGCAUGAAAUGUACAAGCACUCUAAUACUAAAUUUUGUUACGUAACUUGACGUUUAACGCAAUGAGAUAAAAUAUUUUGUUAUUUUUUAUGUUUUUUUUUUCAUGUUUUUGUUUUGUAAGUCAUUAAAUCAUAAAAUCGCUCAUUGCUCCCUGUGGUAUGCGCAUGCUAACUUUACAGAAAAUUCGAAAUGUUAAAAUUAGUUAUGAAGUAUUUAAUCCAUAUAGAUUUUAAGUGAAUUUUAUGUUAACUUUGACAUUGAGGUUUGUAAAAACAAAGGUGUUGUGUAUGCACCAAUUGCACACUAAUGUAGUUAGAAUGCUAAUUUUUAGAUAAAAUAAUAAUAAUUUCAAAAUAUACUAAGGGAAUAAGCGGUGAAUUACGAAAUGGGUGUGUACUACUACUACUAUUGUUUACAAUUCUUAGAUCUUCCAAAGCUCUUUUCAAGUUACAGUUGGCAUAUUAGAAUUUUUAAAACUCCUACUCAAUGAAAAUCCAAUGACAACAUAAUUAAAUGAACAAUCUAUUAUACAAAUACAUAUGCUUAAAUAGUUAAUUGAAAAAAAAAAAAAAAACAGAGUUGAAAUUUAUAAACUCACGUAUGCAUGCCCCUUCCCUAUACUAACCUCUCAAGCCCUUGGCCACAUUUGUAUGUGGUUGUUUAGUUUUCUAUAUAAUUAUAAAUAUUGUAAACAAUAAAAAGAACAAAAAUUUCAAAAUGGCUUAUUCUAUAUAGAGUCUCUCCUGCAACAUGAGGUAGACAAUUUUAUGAUUUUGCUGUACUGUUAACAUUAUUUUCGAUUUACAGUAAGAUAUAUGAAAAACAUAAAAUUGUCCCUGAAGAGGUUAAUGAAACUGUUAGUUUUAAAAGUUUGGCAAUGAAGCGGAAUUCAUGAAAUAAGACUGUAUUAGGGUUUGUUAUAUUUUUUUAAAAACAAAACAAAAUAUUGUAUUGAAUUAAACUUAUAUAUACAUAUUAGGAAAUACAUACAUAUAAAAGUAUUUAAGUAUAGCAUAAUUAUGGGGUUUAUUGAAUGCUAAUAAAUAUGGAAAAUAUAUUAAAAAUA